rnacentral:rRNA from 1 species
CCUACGGGUGGCAGCAGUGGGGAAUAUUGGACAAUGGGGGCAACCCUGAUCCAGCCAUGCCGCGUGUGUGAAGAAGGCCCUCGGGUUGUAAAGCACUUUCAGUGAGGAAGAACGCCUGGUGGUUAAUACCCAUCAGGAAAGACAUCACUCACAGAAGAAGCACCGGCUAACUCCGUGCCAGCAGCCGCGGUAAUACGGAGGGUGCGAGCGUUAAUCGGAAUUACUGGGCGUAAAGCGCGCGUAGGUGGCUUGAUAAGCCGGUUGUGAAAGCCCCGGGCUCAACCUGGGAACGGCAUCCGGAACUGUCAAGCUAGAGUGCAGGAGAGGAAGGUAGAAUUCCUGGUGUAGCGGUGAAAUGCGUAGAGAUCGGGAGGAAUACCAGUGGCGAAGGCGGCCUUCUGGACUGACACUGACACUGAGGUGCGAAAGCGUGGGUAGCAAACAGGAUUAGAUACCCUUGUAGUC